rnacentral:rRNA from 1 species
AUACGGAGGGGGCUAGCGUUGUUCGGAAUUACUGGGCGUAAAGCGCGCGUAGGCGGAUUGGUCAGAUAGGGGUGAAAUCCCAGGGCUUAACCCUGGAACUGCCUCUAAUACUGCCAGUCUUGAGUUCGGGAGAGGUGAGUGGAAUUCCUAGUGUAGAGGUGAAAUUUGUAGAUAUUAGGAAGAACACCAGUGGCGAAGGCGGCUCACUGGCCCGAUACUGACGCUGAGGCGCGAAAGCGUGGGGAGCAAACAGGAUUAGAAACCCUAGUAGUCC